rnacentral:sRNA from 1 species
CUUUUGCGUGAGGGAUUGCAGUGGAAAUCCUUUUUUGCCCCACUUUUUGGGGUAAAUAAGAUUAUUUCACAAUAUUAUAUUUCUUUUGGAGUUCAAUGAACAUUGUUUGGAACGGAUAGCCCGACCCGUA